GACGAACGCUGGCGGCGUGCUUAACACAUGCAAGUCGAACGAUGAAGGGGGAGCUUGCUCCUCUGGAUUAGUGGCGAACGGGUGAGUAACACGUGAGCAAUCUGCCCCUGACUCUGGGAUAAGCGUUGGAAACGACGUCUAAUACCGGAUACGAGCCGAGCAGGCAUCUGCAUCGGUUGGAAAGAACUUCGGGCAGGGAUGAGCUCGCGGCCUAUCAGCUAGUUGGUGAGGUAAUGGCUCACCAAGGCGACGACGGGUGGCCGGCCUGAGAGGGUGACCGGCCACACUGGGACUGAGACACGGCCCAGACUCCUACGGGAGGCAGCAGUGGGGAAUAUGGCACAAUGGGCGCAAGCCUGAUGCAGCAACGCCGCGUGAGGGACGACGGCCUUCGGGUUGUAAACCUCUUUUAGCAGGGAAGAAGCGAGAGUGACGGUACCUGCAGAAAAAGCACCGGCUAACUACGUGCCAGCCGCCGCAGUAA
rnacentral:rRNA from 1 species